UCCGUAGGCGGAUUAAUAAGUCAGAGGUGAAAUCCCACAGCUUAACUGUGGAACUGCCUUUGAUACUGUUAGUCUUGAGUUAUAUGGAAGUAGAUAGAAUGUGUAGUGUAGCGGUGAAAUGCAUAGAGAUUACACAGAAUACCGAUUGCGAAGGCAGUCUACUACGUAUAUACUGACGCUAAUGGACGAAAGCGUGGGGAGCGAACAGGAUUAGAUACCCUGGUAGUCC
rnacentral:rRNA from 1 species